UCAAAUUGAAUGUCCCUCCCCGA
rnacentral:piRNA from 1 species